CCUACGGGAGGCAGCAGUGGGGAAUAUUGCACAAUGGGGGAAACCCUGAUGCAGCGACGCCGCGUGAGUGAAGAAGUAUUUCGUUAUGUAAAGCUCUAUCAGCAGGGAAGAAAAUGAGGGUACCUGGGUAAGAAGCCUCGGCGAACUACGUGCCAGUAGCCGCGGUGAUACGUAGGGGGCACGCGUUAUCCGGAUUUACUGGGUGUAAGGGGAGCGUAGGUGGCAGUGCAAGUCAGGAGUGAAAGGCGGGGGCUCAACCCCCGGACUGCAUUGGAAACUGUACAGCUUGAGUGCAGGAGAGGUGAGUGGAAUUCCUAGUGGAGCGGUGAAAUGCGUAGAUAUUAGGAGGAACACCAGUGGCGAAGGCGGCUUACUGGACUGUAACUGACGUUGAGGCUCGAAAGCGUGGGGAGCAAACAGGAUUAGAUACCCCGGUAGUC
rnacentral:rRNA from 1 species